rnacentral:lncRNA from 1 species
CUCACAAAGAGGGGAUUAUUUCACUCUAAUGGAGGCCGAGAGAAUGAGGGGAUUAUAUGCCAAGCAUAUUGUCCAAAAUAGGUAGGUUACAAUUAGGGUUAAGUGUUGGAUCAACAAACUAGGCUCGACUCAAAUAAUUGGGCCUCAAUAAUAAUAAAAUAGCCUUCCAAGGAAUGGUGCGAGAACCGUGAGCAACACUAUAAAAUAGGUUACUUCGAACGGUCCAUAACAAAGUGGAUUGUGUUAUCUCGUUAAUUGUGUCGAUGUACUAAUCAAUCAUUAGGUCGAGGCCGAUUGAUAUUAAACAACCGAGGUUACAUCAUCGCCCGGGGAGGUCGUUUAACAACAAAAUUGCCUAACACUGCAUUAUCAAUACUGAACCUAAUAUUCAAGCUGCUGUUGAUAAACUAUGAGCUGGAAUAAUGUUGAUAGAUUCAGCAUUUUCUCAGCCAUAUGACUACCUCAGGUCGAGAGGAACAAAGGUAAUAUGGCCGACUGUGUUUAGAAUGCAUAUGUGACACCGAAACAUGUCUUUAUUAUGUGGUUAGCAGCUAAGUCUAAACUGCUAACUAAGGACAGAUUGAUCGAAGGUGCAACCUUUUUGAGAGUAUGGAUGAAUAUAUUGGGCACCUGUUUUUCACUUACCCUUUCAGCCAUUCAGUUUGGGAUAUAAUCCCUGCAUGGGUAGGUCUUCGGAGGUCCAUGUCUACUCUUCACAAUACAAUGAAAUGGAUAAAAAGGGAAAGUCGGGACACAUCUUGGCAUAGCAAAGCUAAACGUAAAGAUUUUUGAUGGCCUUACUCCACAUGUUGAUAUUAUUGUUCGACGGAUCAAAACACAUGUAUACAAAGUUACGUUUUCUUUGUAUCUAAAUGCUUAGAUUCGAUUUGAGUCCUUAGCUAUGGGUCUCUAGAUUGUUUUGAUUGUUCUUCCUCAUUGUAUUUUGUUUUGCCUGGGAAUGCCCGGUAUACUUGUAUAAGUACUUGACUUUGAUUUGGUUUCCCGGGAUUGCCCAACGUAUUUGUAUAUGAUUUUGAUUAAUAUAAUUUACAUUUACUGAUAAAAAACAAAAGCUCUUUUUGGUCACCAAAACCUCGGAUUGGUAGUCGUCAGUUGUCCGGUGACAUGUAGUGGGUUGAACGAUCAGCUUCGAUGUGUUUCGGAUAAUGUAUUAAAAUAGUCUUUUAGUAAUUUAUUUUUUUCUAUUUCAUAUUUAUUCCUUGGGAG